CACCCACGUCAUUCAUAAAUUCAUUCACACAUACGAGUGUCAUCUGUCACGACGUGCCAACGUCAUGUCUCGUUUUUAAAAUUUCUUGAAUAAUUUUUAUGGAAAUAUGGACAUAUAAUUGUUAUAAUUUCAUUUAGGCCGUGUUAUUGCCUAGUUUACUUAAGUUUGUGUAGAAUAAUACAGUGAGUGAAUUCGUUUUUUAUUUCUGUGCAAUUUUACAAAAUUUCGGGGGUCGAUUUCAUUAAUCUGAAAGUUGCAGUCGCUAUCAAUAAACAGACAGAAUAUUGUGUGCCCUUGUGCAGUGUAGGUAGGCACGAUGGACCAGAGUGGCAUAUCUCCGAAUACUUCGAAUCAGCAGCUAGUUAUUAACAGUGAUAAUGAGUCGGCGACGGCGUUGCUGCAAGAGAAGCAGGCGAGGAGAAGCGAAAGUUUGAGGGAUGUCACCUUCGUCGAAUACAUGACUGUCGGAAUACUGUGCUUCGUCAAUCUCAUCAACUACAUGGACAGAUUUACCCUGGCAGGGGUAUUAGCCGAUGUGAAGAAAGAGUUCAAUAUCGGCGAUGACUACGCCGGUCUGCUGCAGACGGUAUUCGUCGUCGCGUACAUGGUGUUCGCGCCGAUCUUCGGCUACCUCGGCGACCGCUACUCGAGGAGAGCCAUCAUGGCUUUCGGAGUGGCGUUAUGGAGUCUCACCACUUUCGUGGGCUCCUUCAUUCCGAAUUACGCGUGGUUCGCGGUGUUCCGCGGUCUGGUGGGCAUCGGCGAGGCGUCCUACAGCACCAUCGCCCCAACGAUCAUCAGCGAUCUGUUUGUGGGAAACGUGCGCACAAAAAUGCUCGCAUUUUUCUACUUCGCCAUACCAGUGGGAAGUGGUAUGGGCUACAUCGUGGGGUCGGAGGCGGGCGCGGCGGCCGACAACUGGCGCGUGGGGCUUCGCGUGACCCCGUUCCUGGGCGCCGUGGCGGUCGCGCUCAUCAUAUGGGUCAUGAGGGACCCGGAACGCGGUGCCGCUGAGGACAGCCACAUGAAGCCCAGCUCCUACAGCGACGACUUGCGGUCGCUUGUCAGAAAUCCAUCGUUCAUGUUGUCGACACUGGCCUUUACUUGCGUGGCGUUUGUGACCGGCGCCCUCGCCUGGUGGGGCCCCCAGUUCAUAUACCUGGGUCUCAAAAUGCAGAACGAUGUCGACAUAACCCUCGAGAGCGUGUCGUACAAGUUCGGGCUGGUGUGUAUGGGGGCGGGCGCGACGGGCGUGCCGCUGGGCUCGUGGCUGGCGCAGCGCCUGCGCGCCGUGUGCGAGGACUGCGACCCGGUGAUCUGCGGCUGCGCGCUGCUCGCGUCCGCGCCGCUCGUCUACUUCGCCCUCAUCGCCAUCAGCGCGCACGUGGCGCUCACCUACUGCCUCAUAUUCCUCGGCAUGAUCACGCUCAACCUGACGUGGUCUAUCGUCGCGGACAUCGUGCUGGGUGUCGCUAAUCUUCGGCGUGAUCACGAUGCUGUCGGGGCUGCUGGGCGUGCCGCUGGGCGCGUGGCUGGGCACGUCGCUGGUGAAGCGCUUCCCGCGCGCGCACCCCGUCAUCUGCGGCGCCGGCCUGCUACUGUCCGCGCCCGCCAUGGGGCUCGGCAUGCUCCUCGCCGACGGCAGCUUCUACGCACCCUUCGCCCUCAUGUUCAUUGGCGAAGUCGCUUUGAAUCUCAACUGGGCAAUAGUGGCCGAUAUGUCGCUGUAUGUUGUCAUCCCGCCUCGUCGGUCUACUGCGGAGGCUUUCCAGAUAUUAAUAUCGCAUAUGUUAGGUGAUGCUGGCAGCCCAUACUUAGUUGGUGUGAUUUCGGAGAGUCUAAAGCGGUCUCUGUCAAUGACAUACCUGGAACCGCCCACAGAAAGCGUCCAGUUCCGAGCGCUACAAUACGCUCUGUUCACCACCUGCUUCGUCGAAGUCAUAGGAGGAGUGUUCUUCCUCCUCACAGCUAUUUACAUCGUCAGGGACAAGCGCAGAGUUGACAGAGCGAUUGCAGAAGCCGAGGCACAAACAGCGGAACCGUCACACAGCUCAGCGCAAGAGGAAAACGCAAGCAACUAAAGCAUUUCAAGUAUUUCGUCGUUCAGACAUGUGGGAACUGCACACGCACGCGCGGGAGAAGAAUCUGAUGUUUCAGUCGCAUAACUGUAACAGACAUGUUCUCUACCAACAUUAUUGAUUUAUUGAUGAACGAUCAACCUAUCGGGAACAAGUCAUAGUUACUGGUUACGUAUGUAGUUGAUUGUGAAUAUUUACGAAGACUGAUAUUUGAAAAGCAUUGUACGGCGUUGGGCGGGUUAUGAUGAAUGGUGAUUGUGUGAAGUAACAAUUAAUUUAAAUUUUAUGUAAGGGUUUAGGAACUAGGCAUCACAGUCCUACUGUUACCUAUUUAGAUAAGAAGUGCCUACAAAUUAUGUAAUACAUGAUUUUAAUGACUAGCGUAGGGAAGGCGUGACGCAUAUCAGGCACAUUCGGUCCUCUGAACAAUUAUUGAAGUACAGAAAUUUCAGGAAUUGUAUGCUGUUGCCAAUAGUAUUUGUUUUUUUCUGCAAAUUUAAUUAAUUCGAUUUAUUUAUGUUGAUUUAUUAUUUUAUCAUUUAUCUUUUUUUUUAUUAAUUUUGAUUGCAAUAUUAACGUCAAAUUAUAAUAAUUUCCUAGAUUACUUUUUGAAUAACUCUUAAGAAAUAUUCAUACAGUUUAACAAAUAAAUAUUUAUAAACAAUUCGGUCAAGGUUCCUAUGAGUGUCUAAAAUAAUUGUACUAAGUAACUACUACUUAAAUUGUUAAUCAGUACUAAAA